AGAUGACUAUCGUAGCUCUCUAAGCCCUUCUACGGUGGAGGCAUUGAUAUGCUCCUCUAGUUGGAUUCGAGGUGCACAUGAUGGGAGUUUUACAUAUGUGGAGCAAGAGGACGAUGUUGAAAACAUUUCAUUUCCAAAAAGUUUGGUGGAGAGCAACUAGAUUAUCCUUUUGUAAGUUUGUAUUAUGCUUAGCUAGUUGAGUGGUUUUUUCUUUAAAAGUGUCCAUUCAAUACUUAUUUUAAGUUUACUUUGCAUUUGGAUCUAACUUGUUAUAUUUUUUUUCUAUUGUGAUAUCUAUAUGGCUGCUGGCUGCACCUGAACCUGAAUUCCUGAAUGGCCUGGACCUGCACGCCUGGACAGCAUGGAAUUAUGGAUGAACAUGAACUGUUAUUUGUAUUUAUUUAUGUUCUAUUUCUGGUGGACAACAACAGCAUGGAUGAACUGUUCUGUAAUCUACUUUUUAGUUUUUGGAUGAAGAACUAUGCAAAUGCAACUAUGCAAGUAUCUGUUCUGUUUAGACUUUAGACAAUAUAUGCUAUCAUGUUGGCAUGCUGGCAUGCUGCUUAUUCUGGACUUGAGAGUAUCUGUUCUGGACAAUAUAUGCUAUCAUAUUGUUUUA